rnacentral:lncRNA from 1 species
GCCCUUCAGGCUUUUCCUCCCCUUGCUGAGCAAGGCCAUGCCCGGUAGCUACCCUUGAACCUCCUCCGCCCUUUGCCUUCCUCCACAGAGAUGCUUGCUUCUGGCCAGCACCCCUGCCCGGUGCCUAGCCCACACACCUCAUCUCUUGGGGAGAUAGCAAGGUGGCCUGUAGCUACCCACACCUCCUCCCGGGCAUGGCUUCUCAGCUUUGCUUCAAG